AAAAUUUGAUGAUACCACUGCAAUUGUGUUCUUAAUUUGAUGAUACCGCUAAAAUUUGAUGAUACUGCUGCAAUUGUGUUCUUAAAAUUUGAUGAUACAUGGUUGUGUAAUCCUUACCUUGUGACAUGUAAAAUUUUAUGAUUUGGAUUAUUUGUAGUUUUGUUAUGUGUGAAAUUGCAUAUAAUUAUAUCCAUAUAUGUUUGAAAUUGCAUCUUAUUGUAAUUUUUCUCAUACUUUCAGCUUUGAACCAGAAUCUACAGUGAGGGGUGCUAUUACGAAAAUCUUUAAAGAAAAUUUUCAAGGCGCAUGGUCAUGUUGGAGUGUUGUUGAUCCGACCACACAAGAUUUUUGGUUUGCUGACUUUAAGGUAUUGUGUGGAAAUUUAGCUUAAUAAUGAUCUGAUUUUUGGUUUGCUGACUUUAAGGUAUUGUGUGGAAAUUUAGCUUAGUAAUGUCAAUUGAUUUUCUGAGUUCUGAGUUCUGAGUGUUUAGUCCUUUGGAAAGAAUUAA
rnacentral:lncRNA from 1 species